GAACGCACAUUGCGCCCAGUGGUAUUCCGCUGGGCAUGCCUGUUCGAGCGUCUUUAAAACACACGCCUUUGCGUGGUAUUGGGAGCUGCGGUUCGCUGCAGCCCCUAAAAAUCAAUAGCGAUACCCACUGGUCCUACGCGUAGUACAAUACCCCGCUUAAGGAACGUGGCUCUUUCAGCCCUAAAAUUAGGAGUCUCGGGUAACCGGACGCCUAGUACGUAGUUUGACCUCGAAUCAAGUAGGGAUACCCGCUGAACUUAAG
rnacentral:misc_RNA from 1 species